ACUUAUGGCCAUACCAUCCUGAAUACGCCCGAUCUCGUCUGAUCUCGGAAGCUAAGCAGGGUCGGGCCUGGUUAGUACUUGGAUGGGAGACUGCCAGGGAAUACCAGGUGCUGUAAGUG
rnacentral:rRNA from 1 species